rnacentral:pre_miRNA from 13 species
GGUGACGACGGAUGAGAAUCGAUAUUGUUGUUGAUGAUGAUGAUGAUGCUGUGACUGGAAUGAUUGGUGAGAUUGGUUCGCAGCAGUCGGAACGACUGCUCCUCGCCGGUGCAAGGAUGCAUAGUG